UAUAGCGCCACAUUUAAGCCGGUGAUAACUCGGUUGGUCUCCACCCGUCUCGAUACGAGUACACAUAUUCACCUUCAGUUCGCAAGCGCAAUCAUGAGGGCCGCUGUAUUUGUCGUAGCCGCUAUCUUGCUGCUAUGUGUAUCCCACACUCAGAGUCGUCCUCGUCCAUCGCACGUACACCGUCAGGAUGGUGUGAAAAGAUCAGGACCAUACGCCGAUUUUCCAGAUAUCGAAAACGCCGGAAUAGUGGGUGGAGGAACUACCGAACGUCCUUCCGAAGGAAAGUCAACUACUUCCAAGCACCACAGCGGUGGCGCGGCUGCCAAAACGGGCCAAGAGAUUUUUCAUGAAGCUGUAGAGGAAAUCCGCGCCACCCUGGGCAAGCCAUGACUGUCAACGCUGUUACGUUAUAGUAUUAUGUGUAUACAUUGUUACGUUACUACAUUGAUCAUUAGAUUAUCUACGGCUGUUGUGCCGUAGUACGAUUUUACGUUUAUAAGUGUAUUACUGGUGUGCAUUGCCGACAGGAAGCGAGGUAGCGCAUAGUAUGCAACGAAUGCUGCGACGCAAAUAGAAUUUCUCAGACCUUGUAUGGACUUGAUCGCUAAGUAACGUAGCAUAGCAGUAGGUCCGUAAUCGUUAUGUUAUCAGGAGUAGAUAAUAGAAGAUCUUCUAUUAUCUACUCUUGAUGUUAUGUUAGUCCUGUAAUGCGGUGACUACAUGGAAGAAAUUAAGUUGGGUUAUGUGUUACGUUAAGACGUUUCGUGUCGAUGAGUGACGUGAGCUGGAUUAUACACGUAUAACAGAUGUGUUUGUUUAUGCUCGCCUAAUGGUGAUCUAUUGUUACUCGAGUGAGAGUAGCUAAAGAAUCGCCGUUAUAAACUCCAAAUGAAAUGCCGAAUACAAUGAAUUUCUGUUUGUAAGCACGUCUAUUGUUGGCAAUUGUAUUACAAUGUUAAUGAUCUUUUUUUUAUGUUGAUGUUACUUUUUCGUAUAAAUAAAAAUAUAAACAAAUAUGAA